rnacentral:rRNA from 1 species
GAGCGAACUGAUAAUCUUGAGGCAGGUAGGGGCAACUGGAACUCUUGGUGGAGCGGUGGAAUGCGUAGAUAUCAAGAGGAACGCCAGAGGCGAAGGCGAGUUGCUGGGCCUGUCCUGACGCUGAGAUGCGAAAGCCAGGGGAGCGAACGGGAUUAGAUACCCCGGUAGUCCUGGCCCUAAACGAUGUGAACUAGGUCGGAGGUUCUCUGACGGAUUUCUGACCGAAAUGAAAACGGUAAGUUCACCGCCUGGGGAGUACGGUCGCAAGGCUAAAACUCAAAGGAAUUGACGGGGGCUCACACAAGCGGUGGAGCAUGUUGCUUAAUUCGAUGCAACGCGAAGAACCUUAUCCUGGGCUUGACAUACUUGGAUACCCUCCUGGAAACAGGUCGGGUUGCCCUUCGGGGUGAAACUUGUACAGGUGCUGCAUGGCUGUCGUCAGCUCGUGUCGUGAGAUGUUGGGUUAAGUCCCGUAACGAGCGAAACCCUUGUCUUUAGUUGCCAGCGAGUAAUGUCGGGGACUCUAAAGAGACUGCCGGUGUCAAACCGGAGGAAGGUGGGGAUGACGUCAAGUCCUCAUGGCCUUUAUGCCCAGGGCUGCAAACGUGCUACAAUGGCGUGUACAAACCGACGCAAGACCGUGAGGUGGAGCAAAUCGGAAAAAACACGCCCCAGU